rnacentral:rRNA from 1 species
UACGGAGGGUGCGAGCGUUAAUCGGAAUUACUGGGCGUAAAGCGUGCGUAGACGGUUAUGUAAGUCGGGUGUGAAAGCCCCGGGCUCAACCUGGGAAUUGCAUUCGAGACUGCAUAGCUAGGGUGCGGAAGAGGGAAGCGGAAUUUCCGGUGUAGCGGUGAAAUGCGUAGAUAUCGUAAGGAAGACCAGUGGCGAAGGCGGGUCUCUGGACAGUUCCUGACGCUGAGGCACGAAGGUCAGGGGAGCAAACGGG